UGGGGAAUCUUGCGCAAUGGGCGAAAGCCUGACGCAGCAACGCCGCGUGCGGGAAGAAGGCCCUCGGGUUGUAAACCGCUUUCAGCAGGAACGAAAAUGACGGUACUUGCAGAAGAAGGUGCGGCCAACUACGUGCCAGCAGCCGCGGUGACACGUAGGCACCAAGCGUUGUCCGGAUUUAUUGGGCGUAAAGAGCUCGUAGGCGGUUCGGUAAGUCGGGUGUGAAAACUUGGGGCUUAACCCCAAGCCUGCAUCUGAUACUGCUGUGACUAGAGUUCGGUAGGGGAGCGGGGAAUUCCUAGUGUAGCGGUGAAAUGCGCAGAUAUUAGGAGGAACACCGGUGGCGAAGGCGCCGCUCUGGGCCGAUACUGACGCUGAGGAGCGAAAGCGUGGGUAGCAAACAGG
rnacentral:rRNA from 1 species